UGAGCUGUGAUGAGAAAGCUAACACGUAAGGAGAGACUACUCCUUUGUGGGGUAUCUCUUCGAUGAAAUAUAUUUGUUACGCUUGGCUUCUGAGCUAG
rfam:Brassica napus, WGS project CCCW01000000 data, contig: 8361